GACGAACGCUGGCGGCGUGCUUAACACAUGCAAGUCGAGCGGUAAGGCCCUUUCGGGGGUACACGAGCGGCGAACGGGUGAGUAACACGUGGGUGACCUGCCCUCAGCUCUGGGAUAAGCCUGGGAAACCGGGUCUAAUACUGGAUAUGACUCCAUGACGCAUGUUGUGGGGUGAAAGCCUUGUGCGGCUGAGGAUGGGCCCGCGGCCUAUCAGCUUGUUGGUGGGGUGAUGGCCUACCAAGGCGACGACGGGUAGCCGGCCUGAGAGGGCGACCGGCCACACUGGGACUGAGACACGGCCCAGACUCCUACGGGAGGCAGCAGUGGGGAAUCUUGCGCAAUGGGCGAAAGCCUGACGCAGCGACGCCGCGUGAGGGAUGACGGCC
rnacentral:rRNA from 1 species